GUUACUAUUAUUCCAUCAGGAUAGAUAAGAGCCUGCAGACAGAAACAACGGAGCUCCAUGGAAUGUGAUUAUGUGAAGAAAAUGGCAGCAAGUCAAAACCUUUCAAAGUUGUUCUUCUGCUAUGUUGUUCUACUUACAGUACUUAUCUGCAUUGAGCCAAUCAAAUCCCAGGAACAGGUGGGCACUCUUGCAGACGAUGAAGUGGAAGCACUUCGUGAAAUAGCUGUGCAAUUGAAUAAAAAGGAUUGGAAUUUCAGUGAUCCUUGUAGCAAUAUUCCGACUAUUUCAAUCCCGCGUACGGAUGAGUACAACAACACUCUCGUCUGCAACUGCUCUUUCUCUGGCAAUGUAUGCCACAUCCAAAGCAUUUUUCUUACCGGACAGGACCUUGAUGGUGUGCUUCCGCCAGCACUGUUGAAGCUACCUUACCUUAAGCAAGUUAAUUUGGCCAGGAAUUACCUUAGUGGUUCAAUACCGAGCGAAUGGAAUUCUACGAAGUUGGAACUUCUGGUUCUCAGUGUGAACAACUUAUCAGGACCCAUUCCUGGUUAUUUGGGAAGCAUAACUACUCUGCACUCUCUGGCCUUGGAGAGCAACUUAUUUUCUGGAACUCUUCCCCCGGAAUUGGGCAAUUUGGUUAACCUGGAGCUUCUCUAUCUUCGUGCUAACAAUCUCACUGGUGAGCUGCCUUCAGCCCUCACUAAAAUGACCAAAUUAAGAGUACUUCAGAUUGGCAGUAAUAACUUCACUGGAAGAAUACCUGACUACUUUCGAAGUUGGAAAAACCUCCAGGCCUUAGAGAUGCAAGCGAGUGGUCUUGAAGGCCCCCUUCCAUCUAGUCUCUCUGCCUUGAAUAAUAUGACAGAUCUAAGGAUUAGUGACUUAAGCGGUGAGAGUUCAGCUUUUCCAAACUUAUCAAGCAUGACGGGCAUUAAUAAAUUGAUGUUAAGGAGCUGCAAUAUAACAGGAGAAAUGCCUGAAUAUAUCUCUUCCAUGAGAAGUCUGACUGAUUUAGAUCUUAGCUUCAACAGAUUGGAAGGGAGUAUUCCAAAUUUUGCAGAUAUUAUGGAAUUGGCCACAAUAUAUCUGACAAGCAACUUGCUAACUGGUCUUCCAGAGUGGAUUAAAAAUAGAGACAGUCGCUACAAUAUAGAUCUUUCUUACAAUACUUUUCCUCAGAACUCUGUCCCAAAUUCUUGUCGAGAGACCUUCAAUUUGUUCAGAAGUUUUUCCAGUCGGAACAAUUCGAUACUUAGCAAUUGCCUCUUUCCAUGUUCAAAAGAUCGGUACUCGUUACAUCUAAAUUGCGGUGGAAAUCAAACCACAGUCGGAAACAUCAAGUAUGAGGCAGAUGACGCCUCAGGAGGUGCAGCAAAGUUUUUUCAGAACUCAGCAAAUUGGGAUUUAGUAGUACUGGUGAUUUUGCAGAUGUUUAGAGCUCCAACAAAGACUAUAUAGCAAAUAAUAUUUCGAUACUCAGAAUGAACAACUCUGAAUUGUAUAAAACUGCACGACUGUCUCCUCUUUCUCUCACAUAUUAUGCUCGUUGCUUAGCAAAUGGAAAUUACACUGUGAAACUGCACUUUGCGGAAAUAGUUAUCAGAGACAACAGGUCUUAUUAUGGUGUUGGAAGACGAAUUUUUAACGUUUAUAUCCAGGAUAAACUGGUUUUGGAGGAUUUUGAUAUUGAAAAGGAAGCACAAGGGGUUGAUAAGGAAGUGAUUAAGGUAUUUAAAGCAGUAGUUAACGUUAAGACUUUAGAAAUCCGCUUUCAGUGGGCUGGGAAAGGGACAACAAAUGUUCCAAAAUCAGGAACAUAUGGUUCUCUGAUAUCAGCUAUCUCAGUGCAGUCUGAUUUCAAACCACCUGAUGAUAGCAAAUGGAAGAAAUUCAUUGUGAUUGGAGUUGUUUCGGCGUUAUUCCUUGUUUUCGUAAUUUUGGGCAUUCUUUGGUUGAAAGGCUGUUUCGGAGGCAGGACAACCAGGGAACAAGAUCUCAUGGGAUUUGAUCUUCAAACUGGUUUCUUUAAAUUCAAGCAACUUAAAGCUGCAACUAACAACUUCGAUGCUGCAAACAAGCUUGGGGAAGGUGGCUUUGGAGCUGUUUACAAGGGCGAACUAUUAGAUGGCACAUUUAUUGCAGUUAAGCAACUUUCUUCAAAAUCAAAGCAAGGAAAUCGUGAAUUUGUGAAUGAAAUAGGCAUGAUUUCUGCCUUACAACACCCAAAUCUUGUGAAAUUGUAUGGAUGCUGCAUCGAAGGAAAUCAGUUAUUUUUGGUAUACGAAUAUAUGGAGAACAAUAGCCUUUCCCAUGUUUUGUUUGGCCCAGAGGAAGGCCUAAAGAAACUGAACUGGAAUACGAGGUAUAAAAUAUGUCUUGGCAUUGCAAGAGGUCUAGCUUUCCUGCAUGAGGAGUCGACACUGAAAAUUGUUCAUAGAGACAUCAAAACAACCAAUAUACUGCUUGACCGAGACCUUAACCCUAAGAUAUCCGACUUUGGUUUGGCUAAGCUGGACGAAGAGGAGAAGACCCAUAUUAGCACCAGAGUCGCUGGAACUAUAGGAUACAUGGCACCAGAAUAUGCAUUAUGGGGUUAUUUGAGUGACAAAGCAGAUGUUUACAGUUUUGGGGUCGUUGCAUUGGAACUCAUAUCUGGAAAAAACAACGUCAAAUAUCGUCCAAAUGAGAAUUUUGUAUGCCUUCUUGAUUGGGCCCUUGUUUUGCAACAAAAAGGAAAUCUGAUGGAGCUGGUGGAUCGAAAGUUGGGGUCUGAGUUCAAUAAGGAAGAGGCAUUGAGAAUGAUAAAGGUAGCUCUACUAUGUGCCAAUUCAUCACCGGCACUAAGACCUACAAUGUCUGCAGUAGUGAGCAUGCUUGAAGGCCAAACUCUUGUUCACGAGGUGAAGAUAAACCCGAGUAUUUAUGGUGACGAGUUGAGGUUUAGGGCCUUCACCGAGGACUUUGAUACUACUUCUGUACAGAGCACGCAAAGCUUACUGUAUUCACCCAAUGCAAAACGGACCGCCUAUACCUCAUUGUCUGUCUAGGAUAUCUAUGCAGUUGAUCUUGAUUCUCGUGGUAAAUGAAGAACAGUGUGGCGGGGUGGUCCGUUGUUGAAGGCAGGUGCUCAUGCCAAAAUGAAAGCACAAAUUCACCAGAGACAAUACGGCCAUAUUCUACAGUUUAUUCUUAUUUCUGAUCGUAGCUUCUGCGUAUAACGUGUAUAACAUAAUGGUGGUAGUAGCUCGCAUGCAUGAAGGUGCCCGAACAUCAAUUUUUAUUUUAUUUAUUUAUUUAAGGAAACCGAUAGAGAAGAAGAGGGAUAUUAGACUUAUAUGCGGCAGCAUUUGUUAUAGUAGUAGGGAGAGAAAAAAAAAAGGCCGGAUGGGGAACCAUCAUAUCACAAAAAUAUGUUAUUAAAACAAUUAACCAUCGUA